ACACUCUGGUUCCCUUUCCCAUCAGACCUUGCUGCUGAGCUCGGUGGUCAUAAAGAAAAAGUCCACUGUGGCCUCACAGUGAUGUAGUCAGAGUAGAGCAUAGGGCCAGAUUCAAACCAGA
rnacentral:snoRNA from 14 species